CUCCGUUCGCUUUUUAGCGGUUUCGAACAUUCGGAGGAAUUUCUCUCUCGCUCUCUCUCUUCAAUUCAACACUUCGAGAAAUCGAAGACACAGUAGGUAAAGAGAUUUUUCAUCACACACCCUACUCAAUCAAAAACUUAAGAUUUCUGUAUGGUGGGAUCUUAAAAAAUAUAGUGAUUCCAAAUAUUAAAUGGGGUGUCUUUGAACUGAUGAUGAGGUAUAUAUACACUGGAACAGUAAAUGUCAAUUUGGAUAUUGCUGAGGACCUCUGGAGAGCUGCAGAUCAGUAUCUUCUGGACCACCUUAAGAGAUAUUUCUGAGGAAAAUGUUGCACUAAUGUACAAGAUGUCGAAGGAAGGAUUGGGAUGUUACUUCAUCAAAACAUGCAUGUAUACGGUUUAUGCUGGAGAAUUUUUUAGGCUGAGGUCGAAACAAUGGUAUUGUCGCAUGGUUCAUCGCAUUGUACCAGACAUUCUGACUCGUGAGUAACCCUAGACUUUAACCGUGACAACAGGAAAUUUGAAAAAAUGUACAAGGGUGUAAACUUCUUGUUCCAUGGUGGAGGAAUAGUCAUUUAUUUUGUCUCAAGUUAUACGGCUACACACUAUACUUUAUCAUUUUAAAAUGAAUUUUUUUUUAUGGAGAUUGAGUUAUGCUAUUUCAUUCAUAAUCAUUUGAGCAUUACAUGAUGGAACAUUGCUAAACA